rnacentral:tRNA from 1 species
UAAGCUUAUUCUAAAUGGAUGGUUAAGAAUCAUUUAGGGAGAAGGACCUCAGCUUAA